rnacentral:rRNA from 1 species
GACGUAGGGGGCGAGCGUUGUCCGGAUUUACUGGGCGUAAAACGCGUGUAGGUGGGGAAGCAAGUCCGGUGGGAAAGCCCGCGGCUCAACCGCGGAAGUUCGCUGGAAACUGCUACUCUUGAGGGUGAUAGAGGGAAGUGGAAUUGCUGGUGUAGCGGUGAAAUGCGCAGAUAUCAGGAGGAACACCAGCGGCGAAGGCGGCGCUCUGGGCUGGAACUGACGCUGAGGAGCGAAAGCGUGGGGAGCGAACAGG